UUGGUCCUGAAUCAAGACAGAUGUUUGCUAUAGCUGUUAAUUUCAAACAGGAGCCAAAAAUGAUAACUUCCUUUGGUCUUUUGGCUAUUCACUAUCUUAGUGGGAAUGAUUGAUUCAUUUGGAAGAAAUGUGA
rnacentral:snoRNA from 1 species